CAGAAAACACAGUAGAGCUUUCUGGGAACAGUCUCAACACGGAUGUCGAGGUGGGUGACGACGAGACAAGUGUGUGGGACAGAAAGCCUAUAUGGGUCCCUGGAUGCAGGAAAUACUGGCUGUUGAACUCACUUCUGCAAGUCCAGCAAAGCAUACCCACAAAGGUGUGAAUGGAGAGCCCAGUCUAGCACAACUGUCAUCUGUAACAUAUAUUUCCAAUGCCAAGACCAAGAACAGGCAUUUGUCAGGGUGGCACAGGGUGACUGAGUACCUGAAGGUGCAGUCCACAUGGGGGCACAAUGAGGAGUUGGAGGAGACGCAUGUGGAGCAAGAUGAGGCCAGCUGCUGACAUGAGGAGAUGCUAGAGAAGACAUAAUUGCCAGGUCAUGCAAGAAGCUCUUCAGCAGAACUUCAGUCAUGGAAGCAGUUCUGAGCACUUUGAAGACAUUGGUUGAAUUCAUGAUGAAGAAACAGCAGCAGCAAAGAGAGCCUGUUCUAACAUACCAACCCUUGGGUCCCUUCAGACAAUAGGGGUAGCCUGUUCUGUAGAAUGACAAACAGCAAGCCAAGCAUGGGGCACUAGUGAUUUGUCCCAAGCUCAUCCAGACCAAGGGGGUUGAACCCAAUGGGCCUAUUUUGGGCACCCAAUGGCCUAGUACUCCCCACAAUCUUCCCAUAGCACAAAUGUCAUUUCUACAUUGUUGAUUGCAUGGGCAGUUUUUUCUGUUGUUUUCAUGAUGCUUUAAAGUCUUUCCACUGGUUUGACAUACUUUUACUGUGGUUUUAAUAAAAUAUUUUGUCCUUUCUGAUCUCUGUAUUGCUAUAUCUUGGGCUUCUCCCCUCUCCAAAAAACACAUGCCCUCUUUGUACCAAUUACGUGAAUCGCUGUAAGCAUUAACAUAAGAAAAAAAGUUCAUUAACUGUUUUGCAAACUGUCUACAAGAUAUGUUAAAAUAGUAUCCCCAUAACCCAAAUCUAAUGUUAAAAGAAUUGGAAAACUAGAAAAGAUUGCAAAAUUGUCCUCCAUAAUAGAUCAGUUACAAACUAUUUUCGGUGUGUAUUAUUUAAUCAGAGUACAACGAUUAAUAAUUUAUUUAGGGCUUCUGCCCCUUGUUUUCAGUAGAUGAUUCUGCUGUGGGGGGCCCAGAACAUAUUUGGCCAGCCGGGCUGAGUGUGGUUCUAUUGUCCCGGCCUCCGAUGGGCUAAGGGGGGGAUGGGAGGGUUUUAAUCACCAUCUGAGGUUUCUGGUUUUAUUUUAAACAUACUGUAUUGUUAUAGGUUUUUAAUACUGUUAUAUUAUAGUUUUAUAGUAUGUUGUACACUGCCCUGAGCUCUUCAGGGGAGGGCGGCAAAUAAAGCCAAAGAAUAAAUAAAUAAAA